UAACACUUUCAAAGAUAUUGCAAAGCCAUCGAGAUAUUGAUGCAAAGAAUAAAGCCGAGCUUAGAAUAUUAAGAGGUAACUCCUAGUGAGUGGAGAGAAGGCACUUCAACUUGGAUUGCAAGUAAUUGCAAAGAUUAAGGGCUAUGCUGAUGCAGCUCAGGCACCUGAAUUCUUUACAACUGCUCCAGCCCUUGUGAUACCAAAAGCUAUUUCAAAUGCUGGUUUAGAUGCUUCUCAGAUUGAUUACUAUGAAAUAAAUGAAGCGUUUUCUGUUGUAGCUCUAGCCAAUCAAAAGAUGCUUGGUCUUAAUCCUGUGAGUUUGGAGAAAACUAGAUAAUUUCUUUCAAGUUGAUUUACUCUUAAGUCUGAAAUGUAUGCUAUUUUAAAUGUGAUCACUCUUCCAUUUUCUGCAAUUUGUAUAGUCAUUCAUCUGUCCACAAUGCAUUUCAGCUU